rnacentral:rRNA from 1 species
UGGGGUAUAUUGGACAAUGGGGGGAACCCUGAUCCAGCCAUGCCGCGUGUGUGAAGAAGGCCUUUUGGUUGUAAAGCACUUUAAGCGAGGAGGAGGCUACUCUAGUUAAUACCUAGGGAUAGUGGACGUUACUCGCAGAAUAAGCACCGGCUAACUCUGUGCCAGCAGCCGCGGUAAUACAGAGGGUGCGAGCGUUAAUCGGAUUUACUGGGCGUAAAGCGUGCGUAGGCGGCUUUUUAAGUCGGAUGUGAAAUCCCUGAGCUUAACUUAGGAAUUGCAUUCGAUACUGGGAAGCUAGAGUAUGGGAGAGGAUGGUAGAGUUCCAGGUGUAGCGGUGAAAUGCGUAGAGAUCUGGAGGAAUACCGAUGGCGAAGGCAGCCAUCUGGCCUAAUACUGACGCUGAGGUACGAAAGCAUGGGGAGCAAACAG